GUGGGGAAUUUUGGACAAUGGGCGCAAGCCUGAUCCAGCAAUGCCGCGUGCAGGAAGAAGGCCUUCGGGUUGUAAACUGCUUUUGUACGGAACGAAACGGUCCGGGUUAAUACCCUGGGCUAAUGACGGUACCGUAAGAAUAAGCACCGGCUAACUACGUGCCAGCAGCCGCGGUAAUACGUAGGGUGCAAGCGUUAAUCGGAAUUACUGGGCGUAAAGCGUGCGCAGACGGUUUUGUAAGACAGGCGUGAAAUCCCCGGGCUCAACCUGGGAAUUGCGAUUGUGACUGCAAGGCUGGAGUGCGGCAGAGGGGGAUGGAAUUCCGCGUGUAGCAGUGAAAUGCGUAGAUAUGCGGAGGAACACCGAUGGCGAAGGCAAUCCCCUGGGCCUGCACUGACGCUCAUGCACGAAAGCGUGGGGAGCAAACAGGAUUAGAAACCCCGGUAGUCC
rnacentral:rRNA from 1 species